rnacentral:tRNA from 1 species
GCGCUCGUAGCUCAGCUGGAUAGAGCAACGGCCUUCUAAGCCGUGGGUCGCAGGUUCGAGUCCUGCCGAGCGCG